GACGAACGCUGGCGGCGGGCUUAACACAUGCAAGUCGAACGGAAAAGGCCUGCUUUUGUGGGGUGCUCGAGGGGCGAGAGGGUGAGUAACACGUGAGUAACCUGCCCAUGACUGGGGGAUAACUUCAGGAAACUGGGGCUAAUACAGGAGAGGAGCUCCAGCUGCAUGGUGGGGGUUGGAAAGUUUCGGCGGUUGGGGCGGGACUCGCGGUUUAGCAGCUUGUGGGGGGGGUAGUGGCGUACCCAGGCUUUGACGGGUAGACGGCCUGUGAGGGUGACCGGGUCCAUAGGGACUGGGGUACGGCCCGGACGCCUUCGGGAGCCAGCAGCGGGGACUUGUGCGCGACAGGCGGACUCCGGAUGCAGCAACGCCGCGUGCGGGAGGACUCCCUUCGGGGAGUAAACCGCUUUCGCCUGUGACGAGGCGUGAGUGCCGGUAAUGGGGAAAGAAGCCCCGCCGACCUACGG
rnacentral:rRNA from 1 species